GUUCCUUCGGGGAUAUCCGAUAAAAUUGGAACGAUGCAGAGAAGAUUAGCAUGGCCCCUGCGCAAGGAUGACACGCACAAAUCGAUAAAUGGUCCAAAUUUUU